rnacentral:rRNA from 1 species
UAGGCAAAUCCGGGCGGCUUAGAUGAGGCGUGAUAACGAGGCGGCUUGCCGCCGAAGUGAGUGAUACCCUGCUUCCAGGAAAAGCCACUAAGCUCCAGCUACACACGACCGUACCGCAAACCGACACUGGUGCGCGUGAUGAGUAUUCUCAGGCGCUUGAGAGAACUCUGGAAAAGGAACUCGGCAAAUUGACACCGUAACUUCGGAAGAAGGUGUGCCUCCGGUAGGUGAACCAUUUACUUGGCAAGCCCAAAGAGGCCGCAGAGAAUCGGUGGCUGCGACUGUUUAUUAAAAACACAGCACUCUGCAAAGACGAAAGUCGACGUAUAGGGUGUGACGCCUGCCCGGUGCUGGAAGAUUAAAUGAUGGGGUGCAAGCUCUUGACUGAAGUCCCAGUAAACGGCGGCCGUAACUAUAACGGUCCUAAGGUAGCGAAAUUCCUUGUCGGGUAAGUUCCGACCUGCACGAAUGGCGUAACGAUGGCCACACUGUCUCCUCCAGAGACUCAGCGAAGUUGAAAUGUUUGUGAUGAUGCAAUCUCCCCGCGGAAAGACGGAAAGACCCCAUGAACCUUUACUGUAGCUUUACAUUGGACUUUGAACAGAUCUGUGUAGGAUAGGUGGGAGGCUUUGAAGCGGUGCCGCUAGGUGUCGUGGAGCCAACGUUGAAAUACCACCCUGGUGUGUUUGAGGUUCUAACCUUGGCCCGUUAUCCGGGUUGGGGACAGUGUAUGGUGGGCAGUUUGACUGGGGCGGUCUCCUCCCAAAGCGUAACGGAGGAGUUCGAAGGUACGCUAAGCACGGUCGGAAAUCGUGCUGAUAGUGCAUAGGCAUAAGCGUGCUUGACUGCGAGACUGACAAGUCGAGCAGGUACGAAAGUAGGACUAAGUGAUCCGGUGGUUCUGUAUGGAAGGGCCAUCGCUCAACGGAUAAAAGGUACUCUGGGGAUAACAGGCUGAUACCGCCCAAGAGUUCAUAUCGACGGCGGUGUUUGGCACCUCGAUGUCGGCUCAUCUCAUCCUGGGGCUGUAGCCGGUCCCAAGGGUAUGGCUGUUCGCCAUUUAAAGAGGUACGUGAGCUGGGUUUAAAACGUCGUGAGACAGUUUGGUCCCUAUCUUCCGUGGGCGCUGCAAGAUUGAGAGAGCCUGCUCCUAGUACGAGAGGACCGGAGUGGACGCACCUCUGGUGUAUCGGUUGUCACGCCAGUGGCAUUGCCGAGUAGCUAAGUGCGGAAGAGAUAACCGCUGAAAGCAUCUAAGCGGGAAACUCGUCUCAAGAUGAGUCUUGCCGGGGCCUUGAGCCCCCUGAAGAGUCGUUCGAGACCAGGACGUUGAUAGGUUGGGUGUGGAAGCGCAGUAAUGCGUUAAGCUAACCAAUACUAAUUGCUCGUGAGGCUUGACCCG